rnacentral:rRNA from 1 species
UACAGAGGUCUCAAGCGUUUGUUCGGAUUCAUUGGGCGUAAAGGGUGUGUAGGUGGCGCGCUAAGUCGGGUGUGAAAUUUCGGAGCUUAACUCCGAAAACUGCAUUCGAUACUGGCGUGCUUGAGGACUGGAGAGGAGACUGGAAUUCAUGGUGUAGCAGUGAAAUGCGUAGAGAUCAUGAGGAAGACCAGUGGCGAAGGCGGGUCUCUGGACAGUUCCUGACACUGAGACACGAAGGCCAGGGGAGCAAAACGGG